rnacentral:tRNA from 5 species
GGGGGUGUAGCUCAGUUGGGAGAGCGCCUGCCUUGCACGCAGGAGGCCAUCGGUUCGAACCCGUUCACCUCCACCA